AUUGAACGCUGGCGGCAUGCCUUACACAUGCAAGUCGAACGGCAGCACGGGGGCAACCCUGGUGGCGAGUGGCGAACGGGUGAGUAACAUAUCGGAACGUGCCCUGGAGUGGGGGAUAACUAGUCGAAAGACUAGCUAAUACCGCAUACGAUCUACGGAUGAAAGUGGGGAUCGCAAGACCUCAUGCUCGUGGAGCGGCCGAUAUCUGAUUAGCAGUUGGUGGGGUAAAGGCCUACCAAGGCAUCGAUCAGUAGCUGGUCUGAGAGGACGACCAGCCACACUGGGACUGAGACACGGCCCAGACUCCUACGGGAGGCAGCAGUGGGGAAUUUUGGACAAUGGGGCAACCCUGAUCCAGCAAUGCCGCGUGAGUGAAGAAGGCCU
rnacentral:rRNA from 1 species